rnacentral:rRNA from 2 species
UAGGGAAUCUUCGGCAAUGGGGGGAACCCUGACCGAGCAACGCCGCGUGAGUGAAGAAGGUUUUCGGAUCGUAAAGCUCUGUUGUUAAGGAAGAACGAGUGUGAGAAUGGAAAGUUCAUGCUGUGACGGUACUUAACCAGAAAGGGACGGCUAACUACGUGCCAGCAGCCGCGGUAAUACGUAGGUCCCGAGCGUUGUCCGGAUUUAUUGGGCGUAAAGCGAGCGCAGGCGGUUAGAAAAGUCUGAAGUGAAAGGCAGUGGCUCAACCAUUGUAGGCUAUGGAAACUGUUUAACUUGAGUGCAGAAGGGGAGAGUGGAAUUCCAUGUGUAGCGGUGAAAUGCGUAGAUAUAUGGAGGAACACCGGUGGCGAAAGCGGCUCUCUGGUCUGUAACUGACGCUGAGGCUCGAAAGCGUGGGGAGCGAACAGG